rnacentral:rRNA from 1 species
UACGUAGGGGGCAAGCGUUGUCCGGAAUCAUUGGGCGUAAAGAGCGUGUAGGCGGCCUGGUAAGUCCGCUGUGAAAGUCCAGGGCUCAACCCUGGAAUGCCGGUGGAAACUGUCAGGCUCGAGUCCGGAAGAGGCGAGUGGAAUUCCUGGUGUAGCGGUGAAAUGCGCAGAUAUCAGGAGGAACACCAAUGGCGAAGGCAGCUCGCUGGGACGGUACUGACGCUGCGACGCGAAAGCGUGGGGAGCAAACAGG